UUUCAGAUAUGCUUAGUAUAAAAAGAAAAUGCAUCCUACAUACAUAUUACAACUUACAAAAGAGAUACCCAACUAAUAGGCCCCCUAUAGAUAGAUUAACAAAGGAAUAAUCAAAUGUAGUUUAACAAAUGAAGAAAAGAAAAUUUUAUUCUGCCUUGCACCUAAAAAAAAUUCUGGGAACAUUACUAAAAAAUAUUAGGUAGGGCCAGUCUAAACUUUAAAAAACAACAACCAAAAACUACAUCUGUACUCUUUUUAACUUACAAAAAAAUGGGGAAAAAUAAUCAGGGUAAGCCUUUUUUUUUUUAGGUAGGGUCGGUUUCAAGAAACAAUUGUUUUUACACCUCAAUGGGCACUCCACAUCUCACUAUUCUGUUUAUAUUGUAUGUAUGCUAUUUGCACGUCUCAAACUAUUAUUUUCUUCUUCUUCAAAUUGUGUAUUAGGGGCUGUAGAAGAGGUGAGGGCCGAUAGGGCCAUGGUCUCCUCUUUUUUCCUGUUAUUGUUCUCAAAAGUCUGGAGAUGUCAUGGGCCCUAUGUUAACAUCUGAUAUUUAAACUUAUUCUGGGCGAGCAUGCCUUCGAACCCCCACCAACAGGUUCGGGCCCUCAAAUAUCAUGUAUACACACACACACACACACACACACACACACACACACACACCACACACACUCUCUCUCUCACAACCUUUUAACAAACAGCACACUAUAAGUACUCCCACCCCAUCUCCACUUUCAAAUACACUCCGCUGGCCCUGUACAUAAAUAAAAAAAAGUGUUGUUUCUAAAACAUUUUUUCUUUUAGUCUGUGAAAUUAUUGAUUAAAAACAAAUUAAUUAAUUAAUUAAAUAAUCGACAACAAACAUGAUCAAUGCCAUGGGGGGAGGGGGGUAGGACGAACUCACCUAAACCCUCCCCCUCACCAAAAAGCAGUGAACAAAACACACAAAUAAACAAAUGUCCACAUAGCAUACAUAAAAGGAAGAAAAUAUAAUAUUUCAACUAGAUUUUAUUCAAAUAAUAUAUAAAUAAUUAAUUUUGUUUUAAAUCCACACACCGAGAAUGGAUAGGCAGUGACAUACAAACGCCUCGUUUUUCAGCGAUUCACUGUUUGUUUUGUUUUUUGUUGUUGUUGUAUUUUGUCAUAUACUAGAUCCGUUAUGCAGUCCAGCCAUUCUUUGUGCAAUGCAUCAUCGUCUGAAAGAAAUAUGACCACUUUUCCUGUUCGUACAGAAGUGGACAAGUAAUUUUAUACGACCAGUGGCUUCAAAUCACACUACCGAACAGCUGUUUAAAGCGAGACUCUAGGGUGUAUAGUGACGACGCGACCUCUAAGGGGGAGAUAAUUUCUGGGUGUUCGCUACACCCUCACCGCGAGGUCCAAUUUAUUUUCCAUGUAACAGUUAUCGUCCGUUUUUUAGAACAUCGACACGGUCCUUUUUCGUGUUACGCAACACCCCUCAAAAAUCGUGCGGUAACUAUAUGGACCUAUAUAAAAUGUGAAAAUUACAGUAGGAUAAUGGUUUGCAAUAGAUUCAGAGAAAUGUGUAGUCUCUGUGCAUCUAUGGAGAAACCUGAAAUGGAAACGAAGUGGGAGAGUACACGUGGUUAUGAGACAACUUUCAGUAGAUUCAAUUAUACUUCAAGCUUGAUGCUGUUAUGUUUUCUGUUUCCAACUGUGACAGAACCUGGAACAGAAAUGAAGUGUGUGACAAUAAUUCAUAGACAAAUUUAGACUAAUACUCUUUCAUGGAUGCUAAAUUUGGUAGAUCUAGCCAUAAAUGUUUUAUAAUUCAAAGUGGUAUAUAGUUAUAUUUAUAAUAAUUCAUUGUUUGAAUUUGUUUUUAUAAAGCACUUUAUUGAACUAAAAUAAUCAUAGCUGCAUUUAGUAAAUUAUUUAGCACACGUGUGACUGCUGUCUCAUGCCUUAAGUGUUUCAGCUGCUAAAAUAUGUUUUGGGGAUAUUUUUUCUGGAUAGAAAUUUACCUUUCUGAUAUUGUACGAGUGUUUGGACAUUCCUUUCAAAGGUGAAAUAUGGCUACUUAUAUUGCUUUGUUUCUAAUAAUGAUAUUGAAGGUGUAAAGUAUGUAAAUAUUUUUGUAAGAAAUUGAUUAAACAUAUUGGCCAAUCAUU
rnacentral:lncRNA from 1 species